UUUCCGUAGGUGAACCUGCGGAAGGAUCAUUACAGAAUAACCAAGGUGCGAGGGCUGCGGCUGACCCGCCUGUAUCGUCACGCCCGAGUGCGCCCACCCACCUCCAUCUCACCCCUAUGUGCACCACCGCGUGCGUCCCCCUUUGGCUAGUUCGGUGGGCGGCUUACGUUUUCACUCAUGCUUUAUAUACAGUGUACAAUGUAUUUUUUGUUUUUUCGAUCACGCAAUCAAAACAACUCUCAACAACGGAUCUCUUGGCUGUAGCACCGAUGAAGAACG
rnacentral:misc_RNA from 1 species